AAGUCGUAACAAGGUUUCCGUAGGUGAACCUGCGGAAGGAUCAUUAAAGAGAUAGGGUCUUCAUGGCCCGACCCUCCAACCCUCUCGUUGUUAUAACUACCUUGUUGCUUUUGGCGGGCACCUGAUCUCCGGUCUCCGGAGCGCACUAACCCUCGGGUUGGUGAGCGCCGCCAGAGUCCAACCAAACUCUUAGUAUUAAACCAAGUCGUCUAGAGUAUAAAAUUUUAAUUAAAAUUAAAA
rnacentral:misc_RNA from 1 species